rfam:Bipolaris zeicola 26-R-13 unplaced genomic scaffold scaffold_190, whole genome shotgun sequence.
GGAGCCUUGGCGCAAUGGUAGCGCGUUGGUUUUCGGCCUUGUCUGCCUGUCCACCAAAGGUUGAGGGUUCGAGCCCCUUGGGCUUCG